rnacentral:lncRNA from 1 species
UUUUGUGGGAGUUCUCUGGGAACACUUGUGCUCCGGCAGGCAGUGCAAACACACCCACGUGCAGAGUGGUGGAGGCAGCCAGGACUUUGCAGGAACUGGCUGGGUGACGUGAUGUAAAAUAAAUAGCAAGGCAUAAAAGCGCUCAUCGCUCAUCGCUCAUCGCUCCCUGCGACACAGGGAGGUGGAUUGCAUUGCUUGCUGGAAAAAGAAAACCUUAAUUACCCUUUGAGGUUGUAUUUUUUAUGUUUUGCUGUUUUUCUUUUUUUUUCAGAAUUGUAAAACUUUGUCAGCAUGUUUAGAGAUGAAUAGAAAAAGCGCCUCGGCUCUCACACUCUCUCUGCAUGACUGAAAGCAGCUGUCCCUGAGCCUCUUGCUUCGCAGUCUUUAUCAGAGGCAAUAGGCAGUCGUGGUGGAGCUGGAAGCCAGUGGCUUUCCUGUUCCUGGAGAAGCAAUACCGGCAACAGGUUUUUGUGUGGAUCAGCUCCCUCACAGCCAUUGUGGCAGUAAAUCCUGGGUUCUCCAUCUGUGCUUCUCAGAGUUGCUGUGGUGAUCAUGACUGAAGGAGCGAUACUGCUAACAACACUUUCGCUGUUCUAAUCAGCCUUGUUAGGUACAAGGUAGUUUUACUGUAAAUCUAGUGCCCGUCCUAGAAUAGAUGUACUAGAUAAGUCUUUCCUAUCUUGUGGGUGUUCUGACGUCUUGUUUUGUGAGGCACCAGAGAGUUA